rnacentral:sRNA from 1 species
UACCAUACCAAGCCAGGUUCCAUGUGUAAAUACUCGUGAUUGGCUGAUCAAUUGGGUCAUACCGUUUAUGAUACCAAGAGACCCUGAUGCUGUUACUGCUAUUAUAGAAUGGACAGAACAGCAAGUGUCAGUUAUGGAAGCUACAAACAAAAAAUCCUGGUCAACAGAUGCCAUCAACUUCUGCCAGAUUGU